UACACGACCGGUGAAUAAAGUCGGUUCUGCCAUUGUACUCCUGUAUUUUCCGGCUCGCACGUUCUCUUCUCCUUUGUGGGGCGGGAUUUUAAAAUCCUUUCGGCCCGCUCUUACAGUAUUCAGUUUCAUACAGCGUGUGUCGUCGUAACGGAAGUGAACGAGAGAGUGCGUUCAGUCACGGAUGGGAUAUCUCUAAAAUCCUCUCAUCGCA
rnacentral:lncRNA from 13 species